rnacentral:rRNA from 1 species
GACGAACGCUGGCGGCGUGCUUAACACAUGCAAGUCGAACGGAAAGGCCCUGCUUUUGUGGGGUGCUCGAGUGGCGAACGGGUGAGUAACACGUGAGUAACCUGCCCUUGACUUUGGGAUAACUUCAGGAAACUGGGGCUAAUACCGGAUAGGAGCUCCUGCUGCAUGGUGGGGGUUGGAAAGUUUCGGCGGUUGGGGAUGGACUCGCGGCUUAUCAGCUUGUUGGUGGGGUAGUGGCUUACCAAGGCUUUGACGGGUAGCCGGCCUGAGAGGGUGACCGGCCAAAUUGGGACUGAGAUACAGCCCAGACUCCUACGGGAGGCAGCAGUGGGGAAGAUUGCACAAUGGGCGGAAGCCUGAAGCAGCAACGCCGCGUGCGGGAUGACGGCCUUCGGGUUGUAAACCGCUUUCGCCUGUGACGAGGCGUGAGUGACGGUAAUGGGUAAAGAAGCACCGGCUAACUACGUG